rnacentral:rRNA from 1 species
GUAGGUGGCAAGCGUUGUCCGGAAUUAUUGGGCGUAAAGCGCGCGCAGGGUGGUUCCUUAAGUCUGAUGUGAAAGCCCCCGGGCUCAACCGGGGAGGGUCAUUGGAAACUGGGGAACUUGAGUGCAGGAGAGGAAAGUGGAAUUCCACGUGUAGCGGUGAAAUGCGUAGAUAUGUGGAGGAACACCAGUGGCGAAGGCGACUUUCUGGCCUGUAACUGACACUGAGGCGCGAAAGCGUGGGGAGCAAACAGGAUUAGAUACCCUGGUAGUCCACGCCGUAAACGAUGAGUGCUAAGUGUUGGGGGGUUUCCGCCCCUCAGUGCUGCAGCUAACGCAUUAAGCACUCCGCCUGGGGAGUACGGUCGCAAGACUG